UUACUCCUACGGGAGGCAGCAGGCGCGCAAAUUACCCACUCCCGACUCGGGGAGGUAGUGACGAAAAAUAACAAUACAGGACUCUUUCGAGGCCCUGUAAUUGGAAUGAGUACACUGGUAAUCCUUAGCGAGCAUCUACAGUUAGC
rnacentral:rRNA from 1 species